rnacentral:rRNA from 1 species
GACGAGCCACACGAACGUUAUUCGGAAUUACUGGGCUUAAAGGGUGCGUAGGCGGUGCGGAAAGUUGGGUGUGAAAUCCCUCGGCUCAACCGAGGAACUGCGCCCAAAACUACCGUACUCGAGGAAGAUAGAGGUGAGCGGAACUUACGGUGGAGCGGCGAAAUGCGUUGAUAUCGUAAGGAACACCCGUGGCGAAGGCGGCUCUCUGGGACGGUACUGACGCUGAGACGCGAAAGCGUGGGGAGCGAACAGG